rnacentral:rRNA from 1 species
UACGUAGGUGGCAAGCGUUGUCCGGAUUUACUGGGCGUAAAGGGCGCGUAGGCGGACAGUUUAGUCAGAGGUGAAAGCCCAGGGCUCAACCCUGGAAUUGCCUUUGAUACUGACUGUCUUGAGUACGGGAGAGGUGUGUGGAACUCCGAGUGUAGAGGUGAAAUUCGUAGAUAUUCGGAAGAACACCAGUGGCGAAGGCGACACACUGGCCCGUUACUGACGCUGAGGCGCGAAAGCGUGGGGAGCAAACAGG